GCAAGAGGACCGAGAGAUCGCCGCUCUGGAGGAGGAGGCCGAGGCUUCCGACGAGGAGGCUCUGCUGGUCGCCGCCGAGGCCCCGCCGGCUGCGUCGCCUCCGAGAGGCCAUGCCCGUGAUGUCCAUAUCCUGAGUUGUGGGUUCCUGCUCAUCUUCUCGGCCUACGGUGCUGCUCAGAAUCUCGACAGCACCGUGAACAACCGGAUAAUUUGGGCACGACAGGCAACGCAAGUAAAGAAGAAAGGCAGACAGGCAACGCAACAAAGAGAUAUAGAAUCUACAGUAGAGAACAUUAGUGAUUUGGAGGAUGAUCAAAGCCAUCGUGCGGGGAAGUCGCUUUUGCACUCAGUGAAGUGGGAGCGCAUUAUUUUGGAUGAGGCUCACUUUGUCAAAGAUAGGCGAUGUAAUACUGCAAAAGCAGUUCUCGAACUGGAGUCUUCAUACAGAUGGGCUUUAAGUGGAACACCUCUUCAAAAUCGUGUUGGGGAGCUCUAUUCUCUUGUAAGUUUCUAUUUUAUACGAGUGGUUAAUUGUUAUUCACCUUCUGUAGUCAAUCACA